AACGAACGCUGGCGGCGCGCCUAAUACAUGCAAGUCGAGCGAGAAGACGUAGCAAUACGUUUGUAAAGCGGCGAACGGGUGAGGAAUACAUGGGUGACCUACCCUCGAGUGGGGAAUAACUAGCCGAAAGGUUAGCUAAUACCGCAUACGAUUCCUGGAUUGCGGUUCGGGAAGGAAAGCGAUACCGUGGGUAUCGCGCUCAUGGAUGGGCUCAUGUCCUAUCAGCUUGUGGUGAGGUAACGGCUCACCAAGGCUUCGACGGGUAGCUGGUCUGAGAGGACGAUCAGCCACACUGGCACUGCGACACGGGCCAGACUCCUACGGGAGGCAGCAGUAAGGAUAUUGCGCAAUGGGCGAAAGCCUGACGCAGCGACGCCGCGUGGGGGAUGAAGGUCUUCGGAUUGUAAACCCCUUUCGGGAGGGAAGAUGGAACGAGCAAUCGUUCGGACGGUACCUCCAGAAGCAGCCACGGCUAACUUCGUGCCAGCCGCCGCCGU
rnacentral:rRNA from 1 species